rnacentral:sRNA from 1 species
GAACGGAAGAUGGCGGCGGCAGCAGCAGCGGAGUCUAGGAAGAGGCACUGCUGAGGGGGCGCGAGGGGAACGGAGGCCAGAGCCGCGCUGACAGCAGCCAUGGCGAGUGGCAGUGGAGACAGCGUCACCCGUCGGAGCGUGGCAUCACAGUUUUUCACUCAAGAGGAGGGGCCGGGCAUCGAUGGCAUGACCACCUCAGAGAGGGUGGUGGAUCUUCUGAACCAGGCGGCGCUGAUCACCAAUGACUCAAAGAUCACAGUGCUCAAACAGGUCCAGGAGCUGAUCAUCAACAAAGACCCCACACUACUGGACAACUUCCUGGACGAGAUCAUCGCAUUCCAAGCGGACAAGUCAAUCGAAGUGCGAAAAUUUGUCAUCGGCUUCAUCGAGGAGGCAUGCAAGCGAGACAUUGAGUUGCUGCUGAAACUCAUUGCAAACCUCAACAUGCUCUUGAGGGACGAGAAUGUGAACGUGGUGAAGAAGGCCAUCCUCACCAUGACCCAGCUCUACAAGGUGGCCCUGCAGUGGAUGGUGAAGUCACGGGUCAUUAGCGAGCUACAGGAGGCCUGCUGGGACAUGGUAUCCGCCAUGGCGGGGGACAUCAUCCUGCUAUUGGACUCUGACAAUGACGGCAUCCGCACCCACGCCAUCAAGUUUGUGGAGGGCCUCAUUGUCACCCUGUCACCCCGCAUGGCUGACUCAGAGAUACCCCGACGCCAGGAGCAUGACAUCAGCCUGGACCGCAUCCCUCGUGACCACCCCUACAUCCAGUACAACGUGCUAUGGGAAGAGGGCAAGGCAGCCUUGGAGCAGCUGCUUAAGUUCAUGGUGCACCCUGCCAUCUCCUCCAUCAACCUGACCACAGCGCUGGGCUCCCUCGCCAAUAUCGCCCGCCAGAGACCCAUGUUCAUGUCUGAGGUGAUCCAGGCCUAUGAAACUCUGCAUGCCAACCUGCCCCCGACGCUGGCCAAAUCUCAGGUGAGCAGCGUGCGUAAGAAUCUGAAGCUGCACCUGUUGAGUGUGCUGAAGCACCCGGCUUCCUUGGAGUUCCAGGCCCAGAUCACCACCCUGCUGGUGGACCUGGGCACACCUCAGGCCGAGAUCGCCCGCAACAUGCCGAGCAGCAAGGACACCCGCAAGCGGCCCCGCGAUGACUCGGACUCCACACUCAAGAAGAUGAAGCUGGAGCCCAACCUGGGGGAGGAUGAUGAGGACAAGGACUUGGAGCCAGGCCCAUCGGGGACCUCGAAGGCCUCGGCACAGAUCUCCGGCCAGUCAGACACGGACAUCACAGCUGAGUUCCUGCAGCCUCUGCUGACGCCUGAUAAUGUGGCUAAUCUGGUCCUCAUCAGCAUGGUGUACCUGCCCGAGGCCAUGCCAGCCUCCUUCCAGGCCAUCUACACCCCUGUGGAGUCAGCAGGCACGGAAGCCCAGAUCAAGCACCUGGCUCGGCUCAUGGCCACACAGAUGACAGCUGCCGGACUGGGACCAGGUGUAGAGCAGACCAAACAGUGCAAGGAGGAGCCCAAGGAGGAGAAGGUGGUGAAGACGGAGAGUGUCCUGAUCAAGCGGCGCCUGUCAGCCCAGGGCCAAGCCAUCUCGGUGGUGGGUUCCCUGAGCUCCAUGUCCCCUCUGGAGGAAGAGGCACCGCAGGCCAAGAGGAGGCCAGAGCCCAUUAUCCCUGUCACUCAGCCCCGGCUGGCAGGCGCCGGUGGGCGCAAGAAAAUUUUCCGUCUCAGCGAUGUGCUGAAGCCCCUUACCGAUGCCCAGGUGGAAGCCAUGAAGCUGGGCGCUGUGAAGCGGAUCCUGCGGGCUGAGAAGGCUGUGGCCUGCAGCGGGGCAGCCCAGGUCCGCAUAAAGAUCCUGGCCAGCCUGGUGACACAGUUCAACUCGGGCCUGAAGGCGGAGGUCCUGUCCUUCAUCCUGGAGGAUGUGCGGGCCCGCCUGGACCUGGCCUUCGCCUGGCUCUACCAGGAGUACAACGCCUACCUGGCCGCGGGUGCCUCAGGCUCCCUGGACAAGUAUGAGGACUGCCUCAUCCGCCUGCUGUCUGGCCUGCAGGAGAAACCAGACCAGAAGGAUGGGUGAGGAGGCUCACCCUGCACCCUUCUGUCCCCGAGAGGCUCCCUCUCCUGGUGCUGCCCUCCCUUUCUGAUUGUGACCACCUCCCUCUUCAUCACCCCCCAAGUCAGUUCUCCUCGCACCCAUCCCAAGUCUCCUCUCCUCCCCCUCUGGAGGCACGUUCAAGGUUGUAGUUUUGCAGGUGGGCUCCAGGUCACACUCCCUGAGCUGUUCCCCAGCUCUGCCACUUGCUCUGAGCUUGCUCUGAGUGGCUUUGUCACUCCCCCUCUGUGCCAUUUUCCCAUCUGUAAAUAACAGUGCUCACCCAUGGGCCUGGAGAUAGACCUCUACACUCCAUUCACUACCUGAGUUGGUUCUGUAGCUUCCUCCCUAUCCCUGGCCUCCAGCUUACUCAUCUGUCCUCCACACGGCAGCUCCAGGAACAUUUUAUUAUAUAAGUCCUUUUAUUACUUCCCCAGAAGGGACCUUCCAUAGUUCUCCAUUGUUCUUGGGAUAAAACACAGCCUCCUUACUGUGACCAGUGAGGCCUUAUGUGACGCAGUCUCUUUGGCUUUACCCCCCGAACAUGAGCCACAUUGGCCUUCUGUCUGUUCCUCAGACGUGCCAAAUUCAGGGUGCUGGUGCUUCCUGUUCUGUCCACCUGGAAUGCUCUUCCUUCAACUCUAUGUGUGGUUGGCUCCUUAUCCACCAGUGUACUCAACUGUAACUUUGAAGAGGCCUUUUGAGGCCACCAUAUCUAAAAUACCCACACCCUUCUCCACCCGCCAUCAUUCCCUCCCAUUCUUAUGUUCAAUGAAUAAAGUUAGGAAUCCCUGUUUGACAAAAGGAAGAAAUGAGUUUCAGAGAGGUGCAGUCUCUGCCCAGAUCAUCCAGCCGCCAGCUUUUGAAUCCUGAUCUGUUCACCUCCAAAGCUUUAUAACCAGGGGCUUGAACAAGCAGCCCCUGAGGGAGGGCCUGCUGGUCCUGAGCUCCUACAAUUCAGCAGGGCCCGGGAGCCAGGCGGCCUCUUCCUCUGCAGCUAUGGCCCUCCCUCCGUCUCUGGCAGGAUCUUCACCAAGGUUGUGCUGGAGGCGCCACUCAUCACAGAGAGUGCCUUGGAGGUGGUCCGCAAGUACUGCGAGGAUGAGAGUCGCACCUAUCUGGGCAUGUCCACACUUCGAGACCUGAUCUUCAAGCGCCCAUCCCGCCAGUUCCAGUACCUGCAUGUCCUCCUCGACCUCAGCUCCCAUGAGAAGGACAAGGUGCGCUCCCAGGCCCUGCUGUUCAUCAAACGCAUGUAUGAGAAGGAGCAGCUGCGGGAGUAUGUAGAGAAAUUUGCCCUCAACUACCUGCAGCUCCUGGUGCACCCCAACCCACCGUCCGUGCUGUUUGGAGCUGACAAGGACACAGAGGUGGCAGCACCCUGGACGGAGGAGACAGUGAAGCAGUGUCUCUACCUCUACCUGGCCCUCCUGCCUCAGAACCACAAGCUGAUCCACGAGCUGGCGGCCGUGUACACUGAAGCCAUCGCCGACAUCAAGCGGACGGUGCUGAGGGUCAUUGAGCAGCCGAUCCGAGGAAUGGGCAUGAACUCCCCGGAGCUGCUCCUGCUGGUGGAAAAUUGUCCCAAGGGGGCAGAGACACUGGUCACGCGAUGUCUGCACAGCCUCACAGACAAAGUCCCACCCUCCCCGGAGCUGGUGAAGCGGGUCCGGGAUCUCUACCACAAGCGACUGCCAGACGUCCGCUUCCUCAUCCCGGUGCUCAAUGGGCUGGAGAAGAAAGAGGUGAUCCAGGCCCUGCCUAAACUCAUCAAACUCAACCCCAUCGUGGUGAAGGAAGUCUUCAACCGCCUGCUGGGCACCCAGCAUGGUGAGGGAAACUCAGCCUUGUCCCCGCUGAACCCUGGAGAGCUCCUAAUCGCAUUACACAACAUCGACUCCGUGAAGUGCGACAUGAAAUCCAUCAUCAAAGCCACCAACCUGUGCUUUGCGGAGCGGAACGUGUACACGUCAGAGGUGCUGGCCGUGGUGAUGCAGCAGCUGAUGGAGCAGAGCCCCCUGCCCAUGCUGCUCAUGAGGACCGUCAUCCAGUCCCUGACCAUGUACCCCCGCCUGGGGGGCUUCGUCAUGAACAUCCUGUCCCGCCUCAUCAUGAAGCAGGUGUGGAAGUACCCCAAGGUGUGGGAGGGCUUCAUCAAGUGCUGCCAGCGCACCAAGCCCCAGAGCUUCCAGGUCAUCCUGCAGCUGCCGCCCCAGCAGCUGGGAGCUGUCUUUGACAAGUGCCCGGAGCUCCGGGAGCCCCUGCUGGCCCAUGUCCGCUCCUUCACCCCCCACCAGCAAGCUCACAUCCCUAACUCCAUCAUGACCAUCUUGGAGGCCAGCGGCAAGCAGGAGCCAGAGGCCAAGGAGGCGCCUGCGGGGCCCUUGGAGGAGGAUGACCUGGAGCCCCUGGCCUUGGCCCCGGCCCCAGCACCCCGGCCCCCUCAGGACCUCAUCGGCCUGCGGCUGGCCCAGGAGAAGGCCUUAAAGCGGCAGCUGGAGGAGGAGCAGAAGCUGAAGCCGGGAGGAGUGGGAGCCCCCUCCUCUUCCUCCUCCUCUCCCUCUCCCUCGGCCCGGCCGGGCCCGCCCCCGUCUGAGGAAGCCAUGGAUUUCCGGGAGGAGGGGCCUGAGUGCGAGACCCCGGGCAUCUUCAUCAGCAUGGAUGACGACUCGGGGCUGACCGAGGCCGCGCUGUUGGACUCUAGUCUCGAGGGCCCCCUACCCAAGGAGACGGCAGCGGGCGGGCUGACCUUGAAGGAGGAGCGGAGCCCCCAGACCCUAGCACCUAUUGGAGAAGAUGCUGUGAAGACCCCCAGCCCGGCUGCCGAGGACGCCAGGGAACCCGAGGCCAAGGGGAACAGCUGACGGGGCUCGAGGGGGAAGGGGGGUGGGACAGGGACGCGGGGCUGGGGACGGGGCGGGGCUUGACCUGCGGAUGCUUUGCCUUAAAAAAAAAUAAAAGAUGUGAACUUGGGCAAGUUACUGAAAAUAAAAAA